rnacentral:rRNA from 1 species
AGAGUUUGAUUCUGGCUCAGAAUGAACGCUGGCGGCGUGCCUAACACAUGCAAGUCGAGCGCGAAAGUCUCUUCGGAGAUGAGUAAAGCGGCGGACGGGUGAGUAACACGUGAGAACUUGCCUUUUGGUGGAGAAUACCUUCGAGAAAUUGAGGUUAAUACUGCAUAAGUCCCUCCGGGGAGAAAGAUGGCUUUAUGCUAUCGCCAGAAGAUAGGCUUGCGGACUAUUAGCUAGUUGGUAGGGUAAAGGCCUACCAAGGCAAUGAUGGUUAACCGGCCUGAGAGGGUGAACGGUCACAUUGGAACUGAGACACGGUCCAAACUCCUACGGGAGGCAGCAGUGAGGAAUAUUGCGCAAUGGGCGAAAGCCUGACGCAGCGACGCCGCGUGAAGGAUGAAGGUCUUCGGAUCGUAAACUUCUGUUGAGUGGGAAGAAAGUCUGAUUUCUAAUACAAAUCAGAUAUGACGGUACCACUUUAGAAAGCACCGGCUAACUUCGUGCCAGCAGCCGCGGUAAUACGAAGGGUGCAAGCGUUAUUCGGAAUGACUGGGCGUAAAGGGUGCGUAGACGGUUUGUUAAGCUUGUUGUUAAAUUCCCUGGCCUAACCGGGGACAUGCGAUGAGAACUGGCAUACUAGAGGAUGAGAGAGAAGAGUGGAAUUUCCGGAGUAGCGGUAAAAUGCGUAGAUCUCGGAAGGAACACCGAUGGCGAAGGCAGCUCUUUGGCUCAUUCCUGACGUUGAGGCACGAAAGCGUGGGGAGCAAACAGGAUUAGAUACCCUGGUAGUCCACGCUGUAAACGAUAAUCACUAGAUGUCAGUCUGGCUUAGCCGGAUUGGUAUCGAAGCUAACGCGUUAAGUGAUUCGCCUGGGGAGUACGGUCGCAAGAUUAAAACUCAAAGAAAUUGACGGGGGUCCGCACAAGCGGUGGAACAUGUGGUUUAAUUCGUCACUACGCGAGGAACCUUACCUGGACUUGACAUGUAUUUGACAGUUGUAGAAACACAAUCUCUUAGGCUUCGGUCUAAGCGGAUACACAGGUGCUGCAUGGCUGUCGUCAGCUCGUGUCGUGAGAUGUUGGGUUAAGUCCUCUAACGAGCGCAACCCCUGCUAUCAGUUGCUACCCUAGUGGAGCACUCUGAUGGGACUGCCUGGGAAACCAGGAGGAAGGUGGGGAUGACGUCAAGUCAUCAUUGUCCUUAUGUCCAGGGCUACACACGUGUUACAAUGGCCGGUACAACGGGUCGCAAUACCGCGAGGUGGAGCUAAUCCUAAUAAAGCCGGUCUAAGUUCGGAUUGGAGUCUGCAACUCGACUCCAUGAAGUUGAAAUCGCUAGUAAUCGCGUAUCAGCAACGACGCGGUGAAUACGUUCUCGGACCUUGUACACACCGCCCGUCACACCACGAAAGUUGUUUGUACCCAAAGUUAUUUUAGCUAACCUGUAAAGGAGGCGGGUACCUAAGGUAUGAAUGAUGAUUGGGGUGAAGUCGUAACAAGGUAGCCGUAGGAACCUGCGGCUG